UUUGAAAGCAUCAGAAGUAACAUUUUGAGUAAACUGAGAAAAGCCAGAACACUGUGUUGUCAGAGGAACGUUCUUGAGAAAGCUUUUAUGUUUACUGUGUUCCCUUGCCUGGUCUUGUGGAAGGAGAGGCUUACGUAUCGUGUGCUGAUACAAGAAGUGGACUCUCUUCAAGUUGGCAGGGCUCUCUACCUGGUCUUGUGGAAGGAGAGGCUUACGUAUCGUGUGCUGAUACAAGAAGUGGACUCUCUUCAAGUUGGCAGGGCUCUCUACCUGGUCUUGUGUAAGGAGAAGCACGUGAAUCGUGUGUCGAUUGCCAGUGCAGGUUCNCUUCAAGUUGGUAGACCUAUCUCUUUCAUUCUAUUACUGUUUAUUAUCUUGUAAUCUGUUAAACAAUUUUUAGUGGAACUGUUAAUCACUCUUUGUAGUGAUUAACGACUGGACGUAGAUUCUGUUGAAUCGAACCAGUAUAAAAAUCCCUGUGUGAUUUUCUUUUGCC
rnacentral:lncRNA from 1 species